rnacentral:rRNA from 1 species
GACGGAGGAUGCAAGCGUUAUCCGGAAUGAUUGGGCGUAAAGCGUCCGCAGGUGGCAGUUCAAGUCUGCUGUCAAAGACCGGGGCUUAACUUCGGAAAGGCAGUGGAAACUGAACAGCUAGAGUAUGGUAGGGGCAGAGGGAAUUCCUGGUGUAGCGGUGAAAUGCGCAGAUAUCAGGAGGAACACCUAUUGCGAAGGCAGCUCGCUGGGACGUUACUGACGCUGAGACGCGAAAGCGUGGGGAGCAAACAGG